AUGACGGAACCCGGAAGUCGUGGUGGCCAUAGCCCGUCGCGCGGCGGAGACACAUCCCGGGAGCGGGGAGCGGGAGCGAGGAGGAGCGCGCGGCGAGGAGCCUCUGAUAUGCAGCGAGUGCGAUCCGACGUCCCCGGCCGGGGGGAGGCGGGGGCCGGGGGGAGGGGAGGCUGGAGCCGCGCGGACCGAGCAAAUCAGAGAGCCUGCUGCUCCGCGGGGACGGCGGGGGAGGAGGGAGGGGAGGGGGCCGGAGGGCGCGCGGGUGUGCGUACGCGGGCGCGCGCGCGAGCGAAUGGGGAGCGAGGAAGAGGGAGAGGGGGAGAGAGAGAGAGAGACAGAGAGACAGAGAAAGAAGAGGACAGGGAGAGCGCAGAGAGGAAAACUGCAGAAAACCACAGGGAAAAGGAACUCCAAGAUUAAAUAUAUCCUUCUCGUUUGACGCUGAGUUGCUGGUCGACAUAUUUUUAAAAGGAUAUCCUCAAGUCCUAUAGGAAAGACAGGACCACUUCUGGACUAGCUGUAAGGAUGUGUUUUUGUUUUUGUACAACACAAACACGUUUCAUAAACCUUUUAAUGUAGCUCUAUAAGUCUAUUUGGACAUUAAAAGAAGCAAAUGCACAAAGAUAGCUUGGCUUUAUGCCCUCAAUCUAGCAUUAACGAAAAAAAAAUCUGAGAAGUUGUUUCCAUCUCAUCUUUGCCCAAAAAAAAAAGAAAAAAGAAAAGAAAAGCUAAAGAAAGUUUUCAGCUCGCAUCUGUACGCCUUCGCGUGCGCGUUUAUAAACAUCUUCCGCCGGGGUUACCUCCCUCCUGCCACAGUUGCUAAGGCAGAGGCAUCGAGCGAGGGAUCGCCCCCUGAGAGCUGUGUUUACUUAGGUUUUUUUUUUUUUUUAAUCUCUCCGCCAUGUAUGACAAGUGUUACUUCAAGAAAUUCGUCAGCCUUCUACAGAUACUUCCAGUUUUGCUGUAAUGAUCUGCAGAAGAGAACUGCCAUCACUUUAUCACAUCCCAAGGUGUUGCGGGCACUCCGAGAGGGCAGAGUGGCUGCGGCGCGUACUGACCUGGGGGAGGGAGGGCGCCGGCCGGGGCGCGGGCGGGCUGGGGCCGGGGACUGGGCGGGUCCCUCCUCCCCAGGUACCUGGAGCGGGCUCCGGGGCGCCUCUCUGCGAAUAUUUGGAAAAGGUAUGCUUGCCUUUUUUUUUUUCUUUAAUUCCUUUAGGGAGAAGUGAUACCCUUGUGUAACAAUUAGCUCAAACAAUAAAUAUAAUUGGAAAAUCAGUCGGAAUUUCUGAGUUUUUAAUUACGUUUAAUUUUCUACUAAGCCGUAAAAUUACGAAUGCCCCUCAAUUAAACACUUUCCUCUUGUAAAGCGUUUAACAACAAUUAUUCCUUAAUCAGUCUGAAUGUGAGUCACAAAUGGGGCUUUUCCACAUCAAAAGGACGUCCUUCGACGUUACCUUUUAGUCAUAAGUAAGAGGAUUAAUUCCUAUAAUUAAAGGGAUAAAUAUGUGCAUAAAUAUCUCUUUCACUCUCUCUUAAAAAAAAAAAAAAAAGAAAACCACUUUCGUUCUGAGACGUGGUGGGCUCGGGCAGGGAGUUUGCUGUCACCGUCCGCUCCGGCGCGGGUCCCCUGCGGGCGCGCGGUUGGGGCCCGCGGGGCACGGACAGCCUGGCACCUGCGCAGGGCGCACAGAGGCGCGAACUCGAGACUCCGGGACCCCACCAACUCCAGGCCUCGUCCCCAGGACAACAAGCCACCUUCCACCUCUGCCCUGCGGGGGCGGCGACCACAGUGCCUUCGGGUAGGUCUCGGAUCCAGAGGAGAUCAGGCCCCAGCCCUAAGCCACUGCUCCGGGUCGACUCUCCAGGCCACAAAUAAAAAUCGAGCAUGACCUUAAAACUCCUGCGUGAAUAUCUCAUUUACCUAAUGACUUUAUGUCACCUAGGAAGAAGGUCAAUUUCCUCUUAACCUUUUCCCCCGCUGCUGCAGUAAGCAUUCUCCCCUAAUCAAUGGUGGC
ensembl:lincRNA